rnacentral:lncRNA from 10 species
CUACAACCUCAACCUCUGGGGCUCAAGCAGUCUUCCAGCCUCAGACUCCUGAGUAGGGGACCACAGGCACUUGCCACCAUGCCCAGGGGAAGUCUGGAAACAGAGAGCUACAGGGAGAAUGCCAUGUGACCAUGAAGAUGGCCAUCUACAAGCCAUAGAGGGAGGCCUGGAACAUAUCCUGCCUUCGCAGCCCUCAGAAAGAACCAGCCCUACUAACACCUUGAUUCCAGACUUCUAGACUGCAGAACUGGAGUCACCUAAGUGGCAAGUGCAGAAAGGAAGAAGUCCUGGAAGAAGGAAGUGGAGUGGACACUUGCUGAAAGAAAUCUUAACUCUAGUAUCUUCCCAGUGCAGUUCCUAUUUUGGGUUUCAACUCCCCCAGAGGAGUCCUUUUAGUGCAGCUCCUGACUGCCCGAUUCCACCGGACUUCUCUCAGUAGACAGACUGAAGGGCAGAUCAAAGGCUAGAGCCUGCGCUCUGCCACGCCCUUGCUUCUGCCCAGAAGGGAGCCUUCUUCUCAUCACCUCUUGAAGAGCCACCUUUGCUCCCAGGAGAGCACACUUAGCUCGUUUGCUGCCAGGCCCUCCACACACUCUGCACUCUUUAGAGCCACCUGCCAGUUCUCUCCCUUCUGAGACCCUAGUAUUUUGUGGUUAGCGCUACGAAACUGUGUCCCUAAGGCUCCUUGCCAGUCGCCACUGAAGACUUCUCAGCCUAAAGAGCCCUUGGCCAAAGUCCCCACCCACCGCCCCUGCCGCGCGCCAUUGAGCCCCCGCGCCGCAGACCUUGAGGUCCUGCUCCAGGCUGCGCAACAGCUCCCCGUCGAUUUCCCCGGUCUGGGCGUAGCGGAGCCUUUUGCGCUCGGCUUUGCGGAGGCGGUACUGCAGGAUCCGGCAGUUUUUGUUGGCUCUCUCCAACUCGUGGCGCAUUUCCUGCAGUUGACAGGCAUCCUCCUCGAAGAAAGUGUCCCUCAUCUCGUCCAUCUCGGUUCUCAGCUCAUCGAUCUCGUUCUGAGGCGGUGACAGGCCGCGUGUCAAAAUCAAACUCGCUUCCAGCCCUUCCGACACACACCGUACACACCCCAUUCCAAUUCCAAAUUCUCAGCUUUAAUUGCCCUCUCUCUCCACGAGACAGGAGUGACAAGGAGCUGAGUACAGAAGAGGAAACUGGGGGAAAAAGGCCCACUUUAGGCCCUCUCUCGUUCUCUUACUCUACCUCUCUCCAGGAAGAAGUGUGACAAACCAUUAUAAUUAGAGAAACGGAGGCCCAGAUUUGAAUUUAAAUGAAAACCUCGCGUUACUGAGAGCAGAUUCAAAUUCCGGCAAGGCCUAGGAAACCCCCUCCCUCCUUUCUUGUUCUCCUCCCUCUUCAAGGCUCCCUAACAG